rnacentral:rRNA from 1 species
CCUACGGGAGGCAGCAGUAAGGAAUAUUGGUCAAUGGACGAAAGUCUGAACCAGCCAUGCCGCGUGAAGGAUGAAGGCCCUCUGGGUUGUAAACUUCUUUUAUCUGGGACGAAAAAAGCUCAUUCUUGAGCACUUGACGGUACCAGAGGAAUAAGCACCGGCUAACUCCGUGCCAGCAGCCGCGGUAAUACGGAGGGUGCAAGCGUUAUCCGGAUUCACUGGGUUUAAAGGGUGCGUAGGUGGGUUUGUAAGUCAGUGGUGAAAUCUCCGAGCUUAACUCGGAAACUGCCAUUGAUACUAUAGAUCUUGAAUCAUCUGGAGGUAAGCGGAAUAUGUCAUGUAGCGGUGAAAUGCUUAGAUAUGACAUAGAACACCAAUUGCGAAGGCAGCUUACUACGGGUGCAUUGACACUGAGGCACGAAAGCGUGGGGAUCAAACAGGAUUAGAUACCCUGGUAGUCCACGCCCUAAACCGAUGGAUACUCGACAUCAGCGAUACACUGUUGGUGUCUGNGNGAGANAUAGUAUCCUAACCUCGGUAGUUACGACGCGAGUUAGUAAGACAGAGAGUUAGAGNGNGAGAGCGACGACGACGACGACGGAGGAGGAGG